GUCACCCAUCCACAUCUCUGUGGGUUUCUAUAGGUGAUGGUCUUCUAAUAUAGUCAUCUGAGAUCUCUGCUUGAAGGCUCAGUUGGGCUGCCAGGGCAUGCUUGGUCCACAAGAAGUGCCAAGGAAUUAACAGAAGUUGCAGGAGUAGUUUUGACCAAUGGCCAACAGGAGUUGGUAGAUAAUUACCCCAACCUCCUCACUUGCCUGACAGAAUUACUGUGAAGGAUGUUAGCUGUGUUUUCCUGGAAGUCUCAGUUGCCUCAAUUGCCCUUGAUGGUACCUUACCCAUAAAUCUACUCAUUAUUCUUUUUCUUCCCCUUCUCCAUGCUUCACUGGUGCUUCCAGGGAUCACCUGCCAAGACAACUACAGAUCUUUGUCUCAGCAUGCUUCUGGGAGAACCGAAACUAAGGCGUCCUUCUAAGUCCUCAUCACCACUCACCUGUGGGGAAGUGUUGCAACAUAAGUGCUCCAAUCUACACAGGCUGGGAGAUAACAAACAAACAUGCUAAGCAAUUUUCUCAACAAAACAUAGCCAAAACUGAGGUCAAAGUCCAUGCUAGUAUAACUUCCAAUUGGAAGAGACCUACCAUGUAUGCUAAGAUACCAUGAACAGAGAAAAACAACUGUGGCUUCAUAUAUGAAAUCUGAACUACAAACCGUAAGGGAAGAUGUUCUGAACUAAAGGUACUGAUUUCUAACCAAGCUGUUUUCACACGAUCAACAUUAUACAAGAUGAAUUUAGAGUGACAGGAAAUAGGGAUCUAUCUUUAUCCAUGCAU